CCUACGGGAGGCAGCAGUGGGGAAUAUUGCACAAUGGGGGGAACCCUGAUGCAGCAACGCCGCGUGGGUGAAGAAGUACUCCGGUAUGUAGAGCCCUGUCAGCAGGGAAGAAAAUGACGGUACCUGACCAAGAAGCCCCGGCUAACUACGUGCCAGCAGCCGCGGUAAUACGUAGGGGGCAAGCAUUAUCCGGAGUGACUGGGUGUAAAGAGUUGCGUAGGUGGCAUAAUAAGUAGCUAGUGAAAUCUGGUGGCUCAACCAUUCAGACUAUUAGCUAAAAUGUUAAGCUCGAGAACGUUAGGGGUAACUGGAAUGUCUAGUGUAGGAGUGAAAUCCGUAGAUAUUAGAAAGAACACCAAUAGCGUAGGCAGGUUACUGGGACGGUUCUGACACUAAGGCACGAAAGCGUAGGGAGCAAACGGGAUUAGAUACCCUUGUAGUC
rnacentral:rRNA from 1 species